AGAGUUCAGAUGAUGAUCAAUUGCAUAGUUCAAAUGAAUGUUUGUGAUUAGAAAAGGUUUAGUCUUUCGCUCCUAUCUGAUGAACUCAGAUUUUUUUUUUUUAUUUUUGAUAAUGAUUGUAUUUAAUUUAAUGGGAAAAUGAUGACUCCAUGUGAUAAGGUCUCGUUCGUCGUAAUGGUAUGAUGAACUCACACCUUGCCGACCAUCCUGUUAUAUCACCAACCAUAAACUGAAUCC
rnacentral:lncRNA from 1 species